rnacentral:rRNA from 1 species
UUAAAUUGAAGAGUUUGAUCAUGGCUCAGAUUGAACGCUGGCGGCAGGCCUAACACAUGCAAGUCGAACGGUAACAGGAAGCAGCUUGCUGCUUUGUUGACGAGUGGCGGAC